GCAUUUAUGUGGCAGGGGAGAUACCAUGAUCACAAAGGUGGUUUUCCCAGGGCAAGGCUUGUCCAUUGCACCCCGGAUGUGCUAACACCUGCCAUUUCCCCAAGUGUGGGAAACUCAACUGCAUCAUUUGUGGUAGUAGAGAAAUGCAUUUGCUUUUUUUCC